rnacentral:lncRNA from 1 species
UAUAUAUAAUAUUUGUAAAUUAUCUUGCAUAUUAUUGUGAGUUUUUUUUUAGUCAUAUCAACUGCAAUAUGACAUUUUAUUUGAUUAUUGUGUUAUAAAAAUAAUUUUAAAUAUUCAUUUGCAUGAUAUGCGACAUUUUCUGAACAAGAUUGAAUAAUUUUGUUGGAACAAUUGAUUCUUUUUUAUUAUAAUUUUAUUUUUUUAAAGUGUUUGUUUAUAAUAUAGACUAUAUUUAUUAUUUUUUGUACUAAACUGAUAUUUUAUUCUUUAUAAAUUUUUACUUUAACCGUAUCUAUCCGCCGCAACACGCAGGUCACUACACUAGUCAAUAAUUAUGGUGUUCUAUUGUGUG